rnacentral:tRNA from 1 species
GGGCCAGUGGUGUAUCUGGUGAGCAUACUACUCUUGACAGGUAGUGGCACGGGUUCAAUUCCCGUCUGGUCCACCA